rnacentral:rRNA from 1 species
UGGGGAAUAUUGCACAAUGGGGGAAACCCUGAUGCAGCAACGCCGCGUGCGGGAUGACGGCCUUCGGGUUGUAAACCGCUUUCAGCCAUGACGAAGCUUUUGUGACGGUAGUGGCAGAAGAAGCACCGGCUAACUACGUCCCAGCAGCCGCGGUGAUACGUAGGGUGCGAGCGUUGUCCGGAAUUAUUGGGCGUAAAUAGCUUGUAGGCGGUUUGUCGCGUCGAAAGUGUAAACUCAGUGCUGAACGCUGAGCCUGCUUUCGAUACGGGCUGACUAGAGGAAGGUAGUGUAGAAGGGAAUUCCCGGUGGAGCGGUGGAAUGCGAAGAUAUCGGGAGGAACACCAGUGGCGAAGGCGGUUCUCUGGACCUUUCCUUACGCUGAGAAGCGAAAGAGUGGGUAGCAAGCAGG